rnacentral:rRNA from 1 species
GUUCAAAACGUCGCGAGACAGUUUGGUCCUCUAUCCACUGUGGGCGUAAGAAAUUUGAGGAAUUCUAUCUCUAGUACGAGAGGACCGAGAUAGACAAGCCUCUGGUGAUCCGAUUAUCGUGUCAACGGUAGAGUCGGGUAGCUAAGCUUGGUUCGGAUAAGCGCUGAAAGCAUCUAAGCGCCAAGCCAGUUCCAAGAUAAGAUUUCCCAAGCGCAAGCUUGUAAGGAUCCCGGAAGAUAACCGGGUUGAUAGGGUGGGAAUGUAAGUACGGUGACGUAUUGAGUUAACCACUACUAAAGAUCUGAGUGAAUUUAUGUU